AAAGAGUGUAUUUUUGCACUGUUUGUGUAUAAUGUUUGACUAUCCGUCUUAUUUAAAAAGUUUUAUGAUUAGUACUUUCAUUGUUAUUAGAUGAUAUAUGUAUAGUACUUUAUGUGUGAUAUUUUAAAAAAAAAUUCAAAUAAGACAAACGAUCAAAUGCUAGACAAGAAAAUCACAAAUGCAAUUAUA
rnacentral:pre_miRNA from 1 species